rnacentral:rRNA from 1 species
GGGGUGGGCUUCCUUGAUAUUCAUUAUUUCAACCUAGCAAUGUUGACAAAACAAGCUUGGCGUCUCCUAGAGAAUCCAGAGUCCUUAUGAGUGACCAUGCUGAGAGCUAAACAAUUUCCUGAUGGAGAAUUAUUGAAUACAAAGUUAAAGAAGGGUUCCUCUUUUACUUGGCAAAGUAUUUUGUCGGGGGUUAAUUGUGAAAAUCAUGGUUAUAUAUGGCGUGUUAGAAAUGGUCAUUAUAUUGAUAUUUGGGAAGAUGCUUGGGUCCCGAAUUGUGCAAAUAGAAAACUAAUCACCCCUAGAGGGAGUAAUUUUAUCUCAAGGGUCUUUGAUUUAAUUGACCCUGUUACUAAUAAUUGGGAUGAAAAUAUGGUUACACAAACAUUGUGGCCAGUUGACGCACAAUGGGUCCUUGCAAUUCCUCUUCCUCAAUAUGACACGUUGGAUUUUGUCGCUUGGACCUAUUAAAAAUGGAAUAUUUUUUGCUCGAUCAGCUUAUGCUAUGGAAUGGGAACACCAACACGUGAGAAAACUUAG